rnacentral:lncRNA from 1 species
GAGCAACUCUCUCUUCUCUGACCAAAUGAAAGACAUCUCAAAUAGAUCCAUUCUAAAAAGAACAUCGCAAAUACUCGACAAAUUCUUUAACACUGCCUCCACCCAGUUAUUAUUAUUAGUAUCACCAUCCAUAUCAUUUGUAUUCCAAAUGAAUGAUUAACUGUAUGUAGACUCAUUCCGGCAAAAUUUUGUAUGUAAAUACAUAACAGAGCCUACGAUGCGACCCAAAACUAUAUACGGGACAGGUCGCAUGUUCAUUAUUCCUUCCAUUCCAUGUAUCUAUAAUAUUAUCUCAGACAACCAUAACGCCUUUUUCUUUUCUCUCCUCCUGUCAGAGUGAGCGCACGCCGCGACGACCCCUCCCGGGACCAGGAGUGCGUUGCCCCGGGGCCAUCCAUCUCGGUGGAGAAACAAGAGUGCUUUGCACGCCGAAACGCCGUCAGAGUGCACGCGCCGAGGCCGGGGAAGAGAGCCUCAUCAAUGGUGGUGCUGCGAGAACGGCCACCAUCUCCUCUUCUUCGCCGUGUGAUGCAACCUCGGAGCAUCUGUUGGCAAAACCAUAGGACAGAGAGGGUUUCAGCGAUUACUGUUACCAGGCAGAGAUCGCGGUGUCGGUGUGGAAUGUUGGUUGCAUACGUUUGCGACGGGGACUGGACACGCAUUGCAUGUAUGCCAAUGGCAGGCAGGCAAGCAGGCCUGCAUAAUUUUCUCGAAGUGGCUGAGGCAAACAAGCAGAAUGGUUUAAUGUGUUGUCCAUGCCCUAUAUGUGGGAAUACGAAGUCUUACUCUGACCGGAAAAUUCUUCACACCCACCUGCUUUAGAAGGGUUUCAUGCCACACUAUAAUAUUUGGACCAGGCACGGAGAAAUAGGGGUUAUGAUGGAAGACAGCGAAGAAGAAGAGGACGAUGACAACUAUGUGCCCCCUGAAUACGGUGAUGCUGCAACGGGGGAAGCUGCUGAAGAUCAAGAGGAACCAGACGAUGUGCCCGAUGAUGAUGAUCUCCGCCGGGUCAUUGUCGAUGCAAGGACACAAUGCGAAAGUCAAAAGGAGAAGCUGAAGUUUGAUCGCAUGUUAGAGGAUCACAAAAAAGGGUUGUACCUCAAUUGCGAAGAUGGCAACACAAAGCUCGGUACCGUACUGGAAUUGCUGCAGUGGAAGGCAGAGAAUGCUGUGCCUGACAAAGGAUUUGAGAAGCUACUGAAAAUAUUGAAGAAGAAGCUUCCAAAGGAUAACGAGUUGCCCGAUAGUACGUACGCAGCAAAGAAGGUCGUAUGCCCUCUAGGAUUGGAGGUGCAGAAGAUACAUGCAUGCCCUAAUGACUGCAUCCUCUACCGCGGUGCGUACGAGGAUUUGAACGCAUGCCCGGUAUGCGGUGCAUUGCGGUAUAAGAUUAGACGAGAUGACCCUAGUGAUGUUGAUGGCGAGCCCCCCAGGAAGAGGGUUCCUGCGAAGGUGAUGUGGUAUGCUCCUAUAAUACCACGUUUGAAACGUCUGUUCAGAAACGAAGAGCAUGCCAAGUUGAUGCGAUGACAUAGAGAGGACCGUAAGAAAGACGGGAAGUUGAGAGCACCCGCUGACGGGUCGCAGUGGAGAAAAAUCGAGAGAAAGUACUGGGCUGGGUUUGCAGGUGACCCAAGGAACGUAUGGUUUGGUUUAAGCGCGGAUGGCAUUAAUCCUUUCGGGGAGCAGAGCAGCAAUCACAUCACCUGGCCGUGACUCUAUGUAUGUAUAACCUUCCUCCUUGGAUGUGCAUGAAGCGAAAGUUCAUUAUGACUACGCCUUGUUUGAAUGCAUCCAUCUCUUUCCCGUCCGACUCACUGCAAAAAUCAGUAGCAAGUCAACCUCUUUUUCUUCUUCUCUUUAUCCUAAAUAAUGAUGUUUUGUACUCUCUUCGUCUCAAAAUAAGUGUUGAGUCACUUAUUUUAGGAAGGAGGGAGUAUUUCCCAAAAAUAUGAUGUUUUGUUUUCAUUUGUUCUGACAUUGAAUCUGUGUCGGAGACUAUGCUUUAUUGACGUACAUGGAUUUUAUUUUAUUCUGAGACAAAAGUACAUGUGUUGUAUUUUAUUUUAUUCAUUGAGGGAAAUUUACAUAUGUUUUUCAAUGGAAGGAAAAUUUACAUUCUUUGAUUUAUUUUAUUUUAUUGAGGAAAAUUCACAUGCUGCUUUUAGCGAAAGGAAAAUUGACAUGCUUGGAUGGCCAAAUGCAGCCGAGACCCGCACCGUUUAACUAGCCCUAACCUCUUGAGAAUGUUGCAGUAAAAAAAAAACCUCUUGAGAAUGUUUCAUGGGCCUCCACUGAUGCAAAAUGAUCUUUUUUUUUUUGCGAAAGGACGCAAAAUGAUCAAUGGGCUCUCUCUGGUCUCCGUGGUUACUUCGUGCCACUCGGGUUAGUACUUCGGCCUCCACAACAUCGCUUCACAACCUCCAAAAAAAUGUUUUAACCAAGCAACUCUCUCUUCUCGAACCAAAUCAAAGACAUCUCAAAUAGACCCAUUCUAAAAAGAACAUGACAAAUACUCAACAGAUUCUUUAACACUGCAUUCACCCAGUUAUUAUUAUUAGUAUCACCAUCCAUAUCAUUUGUAUUCCAAAUGAAUGAUUAACUGUAUGUAGCCUCAUUCCGGCAAAAUUUUGUAUGUAAAUACAUAAACAGAGCCUGCAAUGCGACCCAAAACUAUAUACGGGACAGGUCGCAUGUUCAUUAUUCCUUCCAUUCCAUGUAUCUAUAAUAUUAUCUCAGACAACCAUAACGCCUUUUUCCUUUUCUCUCCUCCUCCUGUCAGAGCGAGCGCACGCCGCGACGACCCCUCCCGGGACCAGGAGUGCGUUGCCCCGGGGCCAUCCAUCUCGGUGGAGAAACAAGAGUGCUUUGCACGCCGGAACGCCGUCAGAGUACACGCGCCGAGGCGGGGGAAGAGAGCCUCAUCAAUGGUGGUGCUGCGAGAACGGCCACCAUCUCCUCUUCUUCGCCGUGUGCUGCAACCUCGGAGCGUCUGUUGGCAAAACCAUAUAUAGGAAAGAGAGGGUUUCAGCGAUUACUAUUAUCAGGCAGAGAUCGCGGUGUCAGUGUGGAAUGUUGGUUGCAUACGUUUGCGAUGGGGACUGGACACGCAUUGCAUGUAUCUCAAUGGCAGGCAGGCAUGCUACUCACCGUUCUGUGGAAAUAUCGAGUUGUAGUGAACCUCUGCCCAAAAGCUCAACAGCACCACUGAGAUCAAUCGGAAGAAAAACAGUCAAGUGAAUAGUUAAGUAUCAAGACCAUCCACUUGGAACUGUAAAGAAAAUUAAUCAUCUGCAUACCUUUGUUGGACUUCUGAACCUUGGGUUGGAUCUCGAUGUAGCACGUAUCCUUGAACGAGGUCAUGACGAAAAUCUUCACUCCGUACUGCAACAGAUUGUCGAAUUGUGUUAGAAUGGGCAUUAGUAAAGUACAACCCCUGCCAGCUGUGAUAUAUGCUAUGCCCAUGAGUAAGACAAAUAUAAGCACCUUGUCAGCAGCAGCCUGUAAAGUCACAUGGUCACCCCAUUCACCAUUUCUGUCAGUUUAUGCACAAAGAUAUUAGUUGGGGAAGCAUUCACAUGUGACUAAUUUGUACUACUAGUCAUGAACAGUUUUUGAACUGUUAAGCUUACCGUGAUACUUUCUCCAGAUACUCAUCAUAUGCCAUGGGGACGUAUCCAUCAUAGGCUUCCCGGUUACUCUUAAGCUGGAAACGAUUAUUUAUCAGACGAAAGAUGAAAGUGUGAAAACAAAGAAUGAAGCUAAGGAUCACGAAAGAAAGAUUACUACUGUUGAUUACCUGGCUAAUUAUCUGCUCCCUCACAAACUCAUGGUGGUCCGGAGUUUGGUACAGCUGAUCUGAUAGUGCACGGAACUGUGGAAUUGAGAAGGUUAGAUUAGCAUCAAUUGGUUGUGGCUUAUGUACUACAUCAUGGUCUAACAGUAAGUCAUGAAUGAUGGAAUAACUCAGAGAACUGACCCAACUGCUGCUGCUACUAUGCUUAUUUCAGCAAAAUAAAACUAAGUAUUCAGGUGAGGAUGGCACUAAGUACAAACCUGACAAUUGCCAUCACCUUUCACCUUGUUCUCAGUUAGUUCAUACAACCUCAACCUACAACAAUAUACAUGUAAAAAUUACUGAACUACACGUGGACACUCUAUUUAGAAAGCUAAGAAGAAACAUUAUCAGACUUAUUCUAGUACAUCCGAUCCCUCAUAAAUUCAAUGUUUCAAAAGGAACCCGUGAGAAGUGAGAUUUAAGACAGACCUGUCUGACAGCCUUUCAUGGUCCAUGCUGGCUUCGUCAAGUGAUGGAAUUUCACCAUUAAUUUUAGGGACAUGCUGGAGAAGGCAAAAUAAAUUGUUUAAUCAUAGUUGUAAGUGUAAUGGAACCAAAGCUAAUAACAAAUGCAUAAACAUGUCGGAAAAGAAAAGAAUGCUGAUUAAUUGUGCAAACAGCAGUUUUAAUGCAGCCUUUUUCCCAUACUGAAGGUGCAAGUAAUAAUUUAUUCCCAUGAAACUAUAAGGAAGGCAGUAAUCACACUUUGUAUGCAAAACUCUAUAAACUGAACCCGGUAGCCAAGUCACAGUUUUCAUCUGGACGUUGCUAAAGUUUAACAUGGCAUGGCUCAACAUGGAGUUAAGAAUAUCUGAAUUUAAUUCACCUUACAAUGUAUUUACAGACUUUUGGAAGAAUUUCUUAUCACGCUGUCCAUUAAAGCAAGUAGUAUUCACAAUCAAUUAUCCAACUGAUAUACAUAUUGGUGUAAUUGUCCAUUUGAGAUUUUAGCUACAUGUGCACAGGUAUUCUGUCAAUUAUCGUACCUACUUUGGCCAUUGCUUAGUAGCUACUUUAGUCAGUGAGCAAACAUGGGACUUAUCAAGCUUCCUUGGAAGCAAAGCUUCAUUUAUUCUGGAUACUAAGGAGGGACAUCAAUCUUAACGAAACAACACUGUUACCAAGGAUCAAUAGACUCACGGGAACUGGGACCAUGGGGUAAAAUCUCUUCCCUACUUCUUCCUCCAUUUCAAAACAAUCGUCACUGCCAGGGUAUGAAGAGGAACUAGACGGAUCUACAUAGACUGCGUCAUGCUCCUGCCCGCCAACAUUUCCUGGAACACACAAAAAACAUUAGGAGGGAUAGCAAAAAUGCGAAAGGUAAAGGCUGAAUCAGACUAUGGAUAUUUUCACUACCAGGAUGGUACAUGCCUACUUGUGGGUUGUACAUAUCGCACGUAAGUGCAGAAGAAUGCAAAUAUGUCUCAUCGGGAUGUGAUGCAUCUGCAUAACAAAAAAACAUACACAUGAGGAAUACUGCCUUCUUUUUUUCAUGAGUUUUGCACAAAAGAAUCGCACGACGUUCCACAAAACUACCUCUAGCAUAAUUGUAGUCACAAUAGCUGUUGUCACUGUAACCAUUAGGAUGUCCAUAGUAGCUGUUGGGAGCGGCAAAAGGGUCAUGGAAAAGGUCGUACGCCCAGUGGAAAUUUUGAUCUUUCUCACACAUGUUCAUCCGCUGGGCUCAAAUUCUCUGUCAAAAGCACUGCCCCUACCAAGUAGAUUCAGUGAUUUUAGCAUAAGGGAAUGAACACCAAAAGAAGAACAGAAAAUGCGUGAUAUACGGCUAAUUUUGCGCGGUUGCAACAAAGUCAAGGACCGGUGACAGACUUGACAUAAAUGAAUGAUCUGAGUCAUCACGUUAGGAGCACUCUCACUAAAUGUGUUUGAUACACUAGUCACGAUUACGACAGAUCGGAGAAAACUAACAGAUUAGUACGCAAUCCUCCUCCCGGGACCACUACCACAUUAUAAGAUAUUAUUAGGAGAACUUCUUAUCAGUCUAAGCAACCAAAUCAACAACCUAAUAACAUACAUGCAAGAUCAAAGGCCCUUUUGAUUUGUCGCACACUGAUUGAGCAACCCAAUAUGAUUACUCCCAUCACACGUUAGCAAAACAAAAAAGUUGCGACAGUCUCAUAAUCCAAUCAAACGCUUUCUAUAGCAGCCUUAAAAUAGUGGAUUGCGCCAUAACUGCCGAUUAUGCCCGAGAGGCCGUUCAGAGAGCGAACUAACUGCAGGCGAUAUCCACCUUAAUUUCUUUGAUACGAACGGCUGACGUGCUCAGUGUGGAUUGCUAAAUGAGGGCCUCACCUACUGUUGUCCGCUCAAAAUAUGAUAUAUCUAAACUGGUAAUAACAAAUACUACUAGAGUAGUAUGGAUUAACAAGAGAUAUCGAUAACUGUUUCUGGCUACCCUGUUUUCCUGCAGGGUUAGCGGCUGCGUCAACAGGAGGAAAAAUGGUGGAAAAGUUGCAAGGUUAUUAUUAUUCCUGCAGAGUUAGUGGCCGCCGCACGAGGAGGAAAAAUGGUGGAAAAGUUGCAAGACUAUAAUAAUACUAAUAAUCGAGUCAGAAAACGAGGGAACGAACGGGCGGUGUUGUCCUGAAAAGCGGCAUCAGCGAUCAUGGAACCGGGAUUGAAGCAACCUUAGCAGGCACGGCUGCGGCUUUGCUCCUUUAUGUUCAUGGGGCAAAUCAUUUCUACAGAGNNNNNNNNNNNNNNNNNNNNNNNNNNNNNNNNNNNNNNNNNNNNNNNNNNNNNNNNNNNNNNNNNNNNNNNNNNNNNNNNNNNNNNNNNNNNNNNNNNNNNNNNNNNNNNNNNNNNNNNNNNNNNNNNNNNNNNNNNNNNNNNNNNNNNNNNNNNNNNNNNNNNNNNNNNNNNNNNNNNNNNNNNNNNNNNNNNNNNNNNNNNNNNNNNNNNNNNNNNNNNNNNNNNNNNNNNNNNNNNNNNNNNNNNNNNNNNNNNNNNNNNNNNNNNNNNNNNNNNNNNNNNNNNNNNNNNNNNNNNNNNNNNNNNNNNNNNNNNNNNNNNNNNNNNNNNNNNNNNNNNNNNNNNNNNNNNNNNNNNNNNNNNNNNNNNNNNNNNNNNNNNNNNNNNNNNNNNNNNNNNNNNNNNNNNNNNNNNNNNNNNNNNNNNNNNNNNNNNNNNNNNNNNNNNNNNNNNNNNNNNNNNNNNNNNNNNNNNNNNNNNNNNNNNNNNNNNNNNNNNNNNNNNNNNNNNNNNNNNNNNNNNNNNNNNNNNNNNNNNNNNNNNNNNNNNNNNNNNNNNNNNNNNNNNNNNNNNNCAUACAACCAAUUUUUUCAGUUUUGGAGCCUCGCAGACGGACAAAAUAGAGCGUCGUCACCGGCUCAUAGAUCGCAACAAGAUCAACGCGGCUUCGACAAUAAUCCAACAGAAAGAGAUAAUAAUCCAACAGAAAGAUAAUGAUAAAAAUCGGCACAGGAGAUAAGGUCGGGAUCGCGGCCCAAUUUCAUUUCCCAGCCGCCCGCAUCGACGAACAAGAAAGGGAGGAACCCACCACAAAUCAGAGAAGGCGAGGCGCGCUAACCUCGAGCUCGGCACGCUCUCCACCCCACGAUCAGCCCUUGGCGACGGAGGCGGCCAAGACCGGAUCUUCUGCUCCCCCGGGCGAGGACUAGCGGGCGGCGGCGGCGACGGCGGCUCCGGGGGGAUUGAGCGAGCAGGCGAAGCAGCAGCAGAAGGAGCGGCGGGUCGGGGCGGGGGUCAUCCGGGAGGCCGGGAGCAUGGGGAAAUUGCUCGGCCGGCGGAUUGUGGGAUUGAGGGGGAAGCAGCCAGGAGGAGGAGGAGGAGGAACCGCUGUGAGGUGUGGUGUGAAUCGAGCGCGAGGGAGGAAGAGAGAGAGGCGGAGCUUAUUUUUAUUUUUUAAUAUUUUCUUCACUCGCUCUCUUUCGGCUGGCACGCGGCCUCUGCUGUUUAUAGUACUCGCUGCACUGUAGAGGGGGUGGGGCUGGCCUCUUUGCAGAAACGACCUCGAGUUUGCUUCUUAUUGCGGUGAGAGGCCCUCGGAGUGAGCAGCACGAUCUUCCUUCUCUCCGGCCGGUCCGGCCGCCUCAUGGAACCAACAUUUGUUAAUGACCGGCUCCUUGUCGCAAGGGAGAAGAACACAUUGUAUGGUGGUGGCUUUUUUAAAACUUAAAAAACCCGCCAGAUAUGACCGUGUUUGGAAUAGAUUGCUGAGGGGAGGGUACCUACAAGGAUGGUGUAGCUUUCUCUCUUGAGAGACGGCUUGUGCACGAUCGAUGGUGACGCGGCGGCCCUUUCGGUUUGUUGCUACCCGUUGUGUUUGUGUCCUCCUGGUGGAGACGUAGAAUAAGGACGCGCGAUGUUGACGGUGACGUGGUUGAUAUGGCUCAAAUGCCUGGUUUGUGUUUACUCGUUGAGCGCAAGGAAGAAGGAUUGGCGCCGCGAUGACAUAAUUGAUUGUUGAUCAUGCUUUUUAUUCAUUUAUUUGUUGCGGGGAAAUGAGAUUUGGUGUCAGCGGAUCGGUCCUUAGUAAAAAGCACACACCGGCUCUGAGCCGGAGCUGGUUAUAACAAGGUACCGAUAAGGCGAUAACUUAGAAAAGCCGAAUGGAUCCAUGGUUAGCACGCUGGUAUUAGUUGGCCAAGUGUUGUCAAGAAGUAUGUAUGCUUUCGAUUCUUCGAUUCGUCUGGUCGGUUUUCAUCGUAGGGACAACAGAUUGCUUCAAGGGUACGGGUGUAUUUAUGACAACAUUAAUGAUUGUACUAGUAUUGCUUAUACAUGGAUGAUACAAAUACUCGUACGCCACUGCCUUUAUCAAAAGAACGGUUUUGGAUAUUCUUUUAACAAUGAAGCAUUUGAAAGAGUUCAAGAAAGUGUGUGGCAAAAAAGAUGAUUGAAUGCUAAAAAUAAAUCGGCCCCUCCAAUCUAAGGUAUGUGCCGCACUCCCGGAAAGACGAUAACGCCACACAUCUAGGCUAGCACCCGACCGAAAGUGUCCAGAUUGUUAAAUUUUGUAGGCGGUCGAUUUGCGCCUAGGCCUUGUAAGAAGCGAUCAGAAUCGUCGACCAUCUAUGCAUGGGUUGUAUCUCAUCCAUUCUUGUCACAAGCGAGAGAGUCUCUUGAUUGGUAUCAAGAGAAUGAAAAAAAAAGCGCCAACAUGGCAACUUUUGCACAAUUUCUUUUUGUUUUACAUGAGCUUCGGCACAUCACAUUGCUCGUCAAAGGAAAGCCUAUGUACCAACAGGAUACAAUAAUGCUUGCCAUCGACCAAGUUUAACACGUGUACGCAUUAGGCUCUACUAGCGGUGGUACCAAACAACGUUCGAAUUGAAGCGCACCUAUCGGUCGUACACACACAGGACCGAAGACAGAUUCCAGGGAAGCACAGGGUGGGAAUCGCAGAGGAGGACGUCCCAUCGAGGCGUCGACCAGUGGAAUCGCGUCAGCGGGCCGGGGCCCGCCCGGGGGCAUGGGGAGCCAGCGGGCGUUGACGUCACAGGCCCAUCUGAGCAGCGCGCGGAUUCCGAGGGGAAUCUAUCCCGGCGCUCUGCGCGGCAUCUGACGGCCGUCAGCCAGCCCGCGGGCGGGCGGGCCCCGCGGAUCGUACCCGCGCCCUGGAUGCGGCCAGGCCCGGGCCUGCCAUCGGGAAUGGCAUCUUUUCUCCCGACCCGUACGUACGCCGCUGGCCGCAGCCGGUGGCUAAAAGCCAAGCGGCCCCGCCCCCCGGAAUUUCUCCUGUUUAUUAUUUUUAUUAUUUACUUAGACCAGACGAGAAAACUUAGGUUGAUGUGGAAUUUAACCUUUAGGGUGAAAAGAUGAUAAUCUUUUUAAGGAGGUCGAGAGUGACCGGCACCAUAUAAUAAACUCAUAAAACAACGGGUUAUUCCUUGGUAUUUCACUUUCCUGGCUUUCCGCACUUGGAAAGUAAUUUGAUACUGGGGGAUAAGGGGUCGCGGUUUUAUGGCCUUUGGCGCGUGUCAUCGCGUCCAGGAGCAUCCGCAUCUCAGGGCGCUAAACUAAAGACAAAGCGGUACAAAAAGGUUAGCCACAAGGGAAUACUUGGAGAUGCUAUGGUAAUAUAGGUGAUAAGUGCCGAAGUAGGGCUUAGAGCAUCUAUAACACGUGUGGUUAAAAACAUAUGGUAAACAAACACCCACGGACGAAGCGGGAACAUCUGUUUUCCCUCUUUCCCUCCUAUGUUACCUAUAUUCUAUCUUUGGAAGGGCAUAAAAAGUUGGGACAUAAGACAUUGUUAGGUACUUCUAUCUAAAAAUAAAAAUGUACGUGUUAGGAUGACGUGGUAAUAGUAACACAUAAGCUUCUUUCCUCUUUUCUAUACCUCACACGCCUUUCGGCUUCGGCUCAGGAUCGGAUAGACCCAUUCACCUUUAGCUUACGCCUAACGCCUAGUAAUGAAGAUGCUCUUAUCCUGCUUGAGUAUGUAAGAUAGCUUCUCGAAAGCAGGAAGUUUUUCUCCUCCACAAAUACCUAGCUUCUGGCGCACAUCCGUCUUCCUUACUUUUAUGUAUUAUAUUUCCUUUUCCAUUCAUCAUUUAGGCAUUCCUUUCCAUCGUUCGUCACCCGUCAUUGGAAACCGAAGCAACACUCAAUGUCCACAAUAGCCAAACGACCAUGAAUUUCUCUUGUUUAUUGUUUUUACCUAGACUAGAGGUCGAUGAUGUCGGAUUCUAAACUUUAGGGUGAAAAGAUGAUAAUCUUUAUAAGGAGCCAGAGAGUGACCGACACCGUAAUAAACUCACAAAAACAAUGGGUUUGCUCAUCAAUAUUCUACUUUAUUGGCUUUUCAUGCUUUGAAAAAUCCAAUUAUGGGCGGACAAGGGGUCGCGAUUUUAUGGUCUUUGACGUGUGUCUUCACAUCUAGGAGCGCCUGCAUCUCAGUGUGCUAAACAAAAGAUGAAGUGGUAGAAAAAAAGGUUAGUGGCAAAUGCUACGAGAUGCGAUGGUAAGAAAAAAUAACGGUGAUAAUCUUAGUGAUGAAGUAGAGCUUAGAGCAUCUAUAACCCAUAUGGUCAGAAACAAACAGCAAACAAACACCACACGGAGGAAGUGGGAUCAAUUUGCCCUCGUCCCCUCUUAUGUUGCUUCUAUUCCAUCUUUGGAAGCACAUGAAAGUUGAGACGUAAGGCACUAUUAGGUACUUCUAUCGAUGAUGUGAGAAUAAUAACAUAUACGCUUCUUUCCUCUUUCAUAUACCCAACGCACCUUUCGGCUUCGGCUCCGGACCGGAUAGGCCCUCUCCCUUUAGCUUCCGCUUAACACUUAGUGAUGCAGAUACUCUUAUCACCCAUGUUAGAUGGCUUCUCGGAGGCAGGAAGUUUUACUCUUCCAUGAAUACUUGCUUGUGGCGCACUGCCGUCUCCUUUAGUUAUGUAUUAUACUUCCUUUUUUGUUCAUCAUUUAGGCAUCCCUUUCCAUGGUUCGUCAUAUGUCAUGAGAGACGGAUAUCGAAGCAACAUUCAAUGAUUUUUUAGCAGGCCACUCUAAGGUUGUACAUCCGAAAGUAAAACCUCAAUGGCCGGUUUAUAUGUGGCACAAGAUAGGCGUGGUUUUUAUUUCUUAUUGCCGACUACAUAUAUAUGUACAAACAACCUUGAAUUUAUCCUUUUUUUUACCUAGACUGAAGGUUGAUGUCAAAUUUUAAGCUUCAGGAUGAAAAUAUGAUAAUCUUUUUAAGGGCGUUGAGAGUGAUGACACCAUGAACUUGUAAAACAAUAGAUUACUGGUUGAAUUAUUUUACUUUCUUGGCUUUUCGCUCUCAUUUCAAAAUGAUAACAAUGAACUUGAUUAUGGGUGGGCAGAGGGGCCGCGGCUGGUAAGGGUUGUCGAAUCUGUGAUCAUCUAUGUCUUGACACUAAACAGAGGAUAAAUCGAUAAGGAAAAAAGGCAGCGACAGCGAUAUGGUGCAAAGAACCAGUGGCAGAAAAUCUUGGACCCAAAGUUGAGCAUAGAGCAUCUAUAACCCGCACCGUCAAAAACAUGAGGUGAACUCUCGAUGGAAAGUAGAAGUGGACAUGUCAGUUUGUUCUCUUCCUUAUGACUCUUACGUUACUUCUAUUCCAUCUUCGGAAUCACAUAGUAGUUGAAACGUAAGGCAUUGUUAGGUAAUUUAUCUAAUAAUUAAUAGUACGUGUUAUGAUGAAGUUUUUGUUGGGGAACGUAGCAGAAAUUCAAAAUUUUCUACGCAUCACCAAGAUCAAUCCAUGGAGUAAUCUAGUUACGAGGGGAAGGGGAGUGCAUCUACAUACCCUUGUAGAUCGCGAUGCGGAAGCGUUGCAAGAACGCGGAUGAAGGAGUCGUACUCGAAGCGAUUCAGAUCGCGGUUGAUUCCGAUCUAAGCACCGAAGAACGGUGCCUCCGUGUUCAACACACGUGCAGCCCGGUGACGUCUCCCACGCCUUGAUCCAGCAAGGAGAGAGGGAGAGGUUGGGGAAGACUCCAUCCAGCAGCAGCACGACGGUGUGGUGGUGAUGGAGGAGCGUGGCAAUCCCGCAGGGCUUCGCCAAGCACCGCGAGAGAGGAGGAGGAGGGAGAGGGGUAGGGCUGCGCCGAAAAAGAGACGUUCUCAUGUGUCUUGGGCAGCCCAAACCUCAACUAUAUAUAGGGGGGAGGGGGCUGCGCCCCCCUCUAGGGUUCCCACCCCAAGAGGAGGCGGCCAGCCCUAGAUCCCAUCAAGGGGGGCGGCCAAGGGGAGGAGAGGGGGGGGCGCCCCACUAGAUGGGCCUAGGUUUGCCCCCUCCCACUCUCCCAUGCGCCUAGGGCCUUGGUGGGGGGGCGCACCAGCCCACUUGGGGCUGGUCCCCUCCCACACUUGGCCCACGCAGCCUUUUGGGGCUGGUGGACCCCCGGGACCCUCCCGGUGGUCCCGGUACAUUACCGAUAUCACCCGAAACUUUUCCGGUGACCAAAACAGGACUUCCCAUAUAUAAAUCUUUACCUCCGGACCAUUCCGGAACUCCUCGUGACGUCCGGGAUCUCAUCCGGGACUCCGAACAACAUUCGGUAACCACGUACAAACUUUCCCUAUAACCCUAGCGUCAUCGAACCUUAAGUGUGUAGACCCUACGGGUUCGGGAACCAUGCAGACAUGACCGAGACGUUCUCCGGUCAAUAACCAACAGCGGGAUCUGGAUACCCAUGUUGGCUCCCACAUGUUCCAAGAUGAUCUCAUCGGAUGAACCACGAUGUCGGGGAUUCAAUCAAUCCCGUAUACAAUUCCCUUUGUCUAUCGGUAUGUUACUUGCCCGAGAUUCGAUCGUCGGUAUCCCUAUACCUUGUUCAAUCUCGUUACCGGCAAGUCUCUUUACUCGUUUCGUAACUCACAUCAUCCCGUGAUCAACUCCUUGGUCACAUUGUGCACAUCAUGAUGAUGUCCUACCGAGUGGGCCCAGAGAUACCUCUCCGUUUACACGGAGUGACAAAUCCCAGUCUCGAUUCGUGCCAACCUAACAAACACUUUCGGAGAUACCUGUAGUGCACCUUUAUAGCCACCCAGUUACGUUGUGACGUUUGGUACACCCAAAGCAUUCCUACGGUAUCCGGGAGUUGCACAAUCUCAUGGUCUAAGGAACUGAUACUUGACAUUAGAAAAGCUCUGAGCAUACGAACUACACGAUCUUGUGCUAGGCUUAGGAUUGGGUCUUGUCCAUCACAUCAUUCUCCUAAUGAUGUGAUCCCGUUAUCAACGACAUCCAAUGUCCAUGGUCAGGAAACCGUAACCAUCUAUUGAUCAAUGAGCUAGUCAACUAGAGGCUUACUAGGGACAUGAUGUUGUCUAUGUAUCCACACAUGUAUCUGAGUUUCCUAUCAAUACAAUUCUAGCAUGGAUAAUAAACGAUUAUCAUGAACAAGGAAAUAUAAUAAUAACCUAUUUAUUAUUGCCUCUAGGGCAUAUUUCCAACAGUCUCCCACUUGCACUAGAGUCAAUAAUCUAGUCCACAUCACCAUGUGAUUAACACUCAUAGGUUCUGGUUUGAUCAUGUUAUGCUUGUGAGAGAGGUUAUUAGUCAACGGGUCUGGACCUUUCAGAUCCGUGUGUGCUUUACGAAUAUCUAUGUUAUCUUGUGGAUGCUACCACGCGCUAUUUGGAGCCAUUUCAAAUAAUUGCUCUACUAUACGAAUCCGGUUUACUACUCAGAGUCAUCCGGAUUAGUGUCAAAGUUCGCAUCGACGUAACCCUUUACGACGAACUCCCUUUCACCUCCAUAAUCGAUAAAAUCCUUAGUCCACUAGAUACUAAGGAUAAGUUCGACCGCUGUCAUGUGAUCCAUUCCCGGAUCACUAUUGUACCCCUUGACCAACUCAUGGCAAGGCACACUUCAUGUGCGGUACACAGCAUAGCAUACUGUAGAGCCUACGUCUGAAGCAUAGGGGACGACCUUCGUCCUUUCUCUCUCUUCUGCUGUGGUCAGGUCUUGAGUCUUACUCAAUACUCACACCUUGUAACACAGCCUGAACUCCUUCUUUGCUGAUCUAUUUUGAACUCUUUCAAAAUCAUGUCAAGGUGUCCGUUCUUUGAAAGUAUCAUCGGGCGUCUUGAUCUAUCUCUAUAGAUCUUGAUGCCCAAUAUGUAAGCAGCUUUAUCCUGGUCUUCCUUUGAAAAACUCCUUUCAAACAACCCUUUAUGCUUUCCAGAAAUUUUACAUCAUUUCGGAUCAACAAUAUGUCAUUCACAUAUACUUAUCAGAAAUGUUGUAGCGCUCCCACUCACUUUAUUGUAAAUACAAGUUUCUAACAAACUUUGUAUAAACCCAAAAACUUUGAUCACUCCAUCAAAGUGUAUAUUCUGACUCCGAGAUGCUUGCUCUAAUCCAUGGAAGGAUCGCUGAAGCUAGCAUACCUUUUAGCAUCCUUAGGAUCGACAAAACCUUUCUGAUUGUAUCGCAUACAACCUUUCCUUACGAAAACUGGUAAGGAAACUUGUUUUGACAUCCAUCUGCCAGAUUUCAUAAAUGCAGCUAAUGCUAACAUGAUUCCGACGGACUUAAGCAUCGCUACGGAUGAGAAAAUCUCAUCGUAGUCAACUCCUUGAACUUGUGAAAAUACUCUUUUCCACAAGUCGAGCUUCAUAGACGGUAACAUUACCGUCCAUGUCCGUCUUCUUCUUAAAGAUCCAUUUAUCUCGGAUUUCAUGGCUUCUAACCAUUUGUCGGAAUAUGGGCCCACCAUCGCUUCUCCAUAGCUCAUAGGUUCAUCGUUGUCCAACAACAUGACUUCCAAGACAGGAUCACGCACUACUCUGAAGUAUUACGCAUCCUCGUCGUCCUACAAGGUUUGGUAAUGACUUGAUCCGAAGUUUCAUGAUCACUAUCAUAAGCUUCCACUUCAAGUGGUGUAGGUGCCACAGGAACAACUUCCUGUGCCCUGCUACACACUAGUUGAAGUGACGGUUCAAUAACCUUAUCAAGUCUCCACCAUCCUCCCACUCAAUUCUUUCGAGAGAAACUUUUCCUCGAGAAAGGACCUGUUUCUAGAAGCAAUUACUUUUGCUUCCAGAUCUGAAAUAGGAGGUAUACCCAACACUUCUGGGUAUUCUAUGAAGAUGCAUUUAUCCGCUUUGGGUUCGAGCUUAUCAGCCUGAAACUUUUUCACAUAAGCAUUGCAGCCCCAAACUUUUAAGAAACGACAACUUAGGUUUCUCUAAACGGUGUCUCAACGGAAUUGCGUGGUGCCCCCUUUUAAAGUGAAUGCGGUUAUCUCUAAUGCCUAACCCAUAAACGAUAGUGGUAAUUCGAUAAGAGACAUCAUGGUAUGCACCAUAUCCAAUAGGGUGCAGUUAUGAUGUUCGGACACACCAUCACACUAUGGUGUUCCAGGCGGUAUUAAUUGUGAAACACUUUCCACAAUGUCUUAAUUGUGUGCCAAACUCGUAACUCAGAUACUCAUCUCUAUGAUCAUAUCACAGACAUUUUAUCCUCUUGUCACGACGAUCUUCAACUUCACUCUGAAAUUACUUGAACCUUUCAAUAAUUCAGACUUGUGUUUCAUCAAGUAAAUACACUCAGCAUCUACUCAAAUCAUCUGUGAAGUAAGAACAUAACGAUAUCCACUGCAUGCCUCAGCACUCAUUGGACUGCACACAUCAAAAUGUAUUACAUCCAACAAGUUGCUCUCUUGUUCCAUCUUACUGAAAACGAGGCUUUUCAGUCAUCUUGCCCAUGUGGUAUGAUUUGCAUGUCUCAAGUGAUUCAAAAUCAAGUGAGUCCAAAUGAUCCAUCUGCAUGGAGUUUCUUCAUGCAUAUAUACCAAUAGACAUGGUUCGCAUGUCUCAAUCGUUUCAAAAACGAGUGAGUCCAAAGAUCCAUCUACAUGGAGCUUCUUCAUGCGUUUUAUCCCAAUAUGACUCAAAUAGCAGUGCCACAAGUAUGUGGUACUAUCAUUACUUUUGGCAUGAACAUGUGUAUCACUACGAUCGAGAUUCAUUUUAGGUGUAAGACCAUUGAAGGUAUUAUUCAAAUAAACAGAGUAACCAUUAUUCUCCUUAAAUGAAUAACCGUAUUGCGAUAAACAUAAUCCAAUCAUGUUUAUGCUCAACGCAAACACCAAUCUCGAUGGUAGAGGGAGCAUGCGAUGCUUGAUCACAUCAACCUUGGAAACACUUCCAACACACAUCGUCAUCUCACCUUUAGCUAGUCUCCAUUUAUUCCGCAGAUUUUAUUUCGAGUUACUGAAACUUAGCAACCGAACCAGUAUCUAAUACCCUGGUGCUGCUAGGAGUACUACUAAAGUACACAUUCAUAUAAUGUAUAUCUAAUAUACUUCUGUCGACCUUCCUUCUCAUCUACCAAAUAUCUAGGGUAGUACUGCUUCAGUGACCGUUCCUCUCAUUACAGAAGCACUUAGUCUCGGGUUUGGGUUCAACCUUGGGAUUCUUCACUAGAGCAGCAAACGACUUGCUGUUUCAUGAAGUAUCCCUUUUGCCCUUGCCCUUCUUAAACUAGUGGUUUUACUAACCAUCAACAAUUGAUGCUCCUUCUUGAUUUCUACUUUCGCGGUGUCAAACAUCGCGAGUUGCUCAAGGAUCAUCAUCUAUCCUUGAUAUUUAUAGUUCAUCACGAAGCUCUAAUAGCUUGGUGGCAGUGACUAUGGAGAACCAUCACUAUCUCAUCUGGGAGAUUAACUCCCACUCAAUUCAAGUGAUUGUGGUACUCAGACAAUCUGAGCACAUGCUCAACGAUUGAACUUUUCUCCCUUAGUUUGCAGGCUUAAGAAACUUGUCAGAGGUCUCAUACCUCUUGACGUGGGCACUAGUCCGAAAUCCCAAUUUCAGUCUUUGGAACAUCUCAUAUGUUCUGCGACGUUUCAAAACCGUCUUUGGUGCCACAAUUCUAAACUGUUAGCAUUACGCACUGAACUAUCACGUAGUCAUCAAAACGUGUAUGUUAGAUGUUUCGCAACAUCUACAAACGACGCUGAGGUUCAGCACACCGAGCGGUGCAUUAAGGACAUAAGCCUUCUGUGCAACAAUGAGGACAAUCCUCAGUUUACGGACCCAGUCCGCAUAAUUGCUACUACCAACUUUCAACUAAAUUUUCUCUAGGAACAUAUCUUAAACAGUAGAACUAAAGCGUAUGACAUAUUUGCAAAGACCUUUUGACUAUGUUCAUGAUAAUGAAGUUCAUCUGAUUAUUGAACUCCCACUCAGAUAAACAUCCCUCUAGUCAUCUAAGUGAUACAUGAUCCGAGUCAAACUAGGCCGUGUCCGAUCAUCACGUGAGACGGACUAGUCAUCAUCGGUGAACAUCUCCAUGUUGAUCGUAUCUACCAUACAACUCAUGUUCGACCUUUCGAUCUCUUGUGUUCCGAGGCCAUGUCUGUACAUGCUAGGCUCGUCAAGUCAACCUAAGUGUUUCGCAUGUGUUCCGAGGCCAUGUCUGUACAUGCUAGGCUCGUCAACACCCGUUGUAUUCGAACGUUAGAAUCUAUCACACCCGAUCAUCACGUGGUGCUUCGAAAUAACGAACCUUCGCAACGGUGCACAGUUAGGGGGAACACGUCUCUUGAAAUUUUUAGUGAGGGAUCAUCUUACUUACUACCGUCGUUCUAAGCAAAUAAGAUGCAAGACAUGAUAAACAUCACAUGCAAUCAAAUAGUGACAUGAUAUGGCCAAUAUCAUUUUUUCUCCUUUGAUCUCCAUCUUCGGGGCACCAUGAUCAUCUUUGUCACCGGCAUGACACCAUGAUCUCCAUCAUUGUGUCUUCAUGAAGUUGUCACGCCAACGAUUACUUCUACUUCUAUGGCUAACGCGCUUAGCAAUAAAGUAAAGUAAUUUACAUGGCGUUUUUCAAUGACACGCAGGUCAUACAAAAAAAAUAAAGACAACUCCUAUGGCUCCUGCCGGUUGUCAUACUCAUCGACAUGCAAGUCAUGAUUCCUAUUACAAGAAUAUGAUCAAUCUCAUACAUCACAUAUAUCAUUCAUCACAUCUUCUGGCCAUAUCACAUCACAUAGCACAUGCUGCAAAAACAAGUUAGACGUCCUCUAAUUGUUGUUGCAAGUUUUUACGUGGCUUGUAUAGGUUUCUAGCAAGAACGUUUCUUACCUACGUAAAACCACAACGUGAUAUGCCAAUUUCUAUUUACCCUUCAUAAGGACCCUUUUCAUCGAAUCCGUUCCGACUAAAGUGGGAGAGACAGACACCCGCUAGCCACCUUAUGCAACUAGUGCAUGUCAGUCGGUAGAACCUGUCUCACGUAAGCGUACGUGUAAGGUCGGUCCGGGCCGCUUCAUCCCACAAUGCCGCCGAAACAAGAUAAGACUAGUAGCGGCAAGAAGAAAUGGCAACAUGGACGCCCACAACUACUUUGUGUUCUACUCGUGCAUAGAAACUACGCAUAGACCUAGCUCAUGAUGCCACUGUUGGAGAACGUAGCAGAAAUUCAAAAUUUUCUACGCAUCACCAAGAUCAAUCUAUGGAGUUUACUAGCAACGAGAGGGAAGAAGAGUGCAUCUACAUACCCUUGUAGAUCGCGAUGCGGAAGCGUUGCAAGAACACGGAUGAAGGAGUCGUACUCGAAGCGAUUCAGAUCGCGGUUGAUUCCGAUCUAAGCACCGAAGAACGGUGCCUCCGCGUUCAACGCACGUGCAGCCCGGUGACGUCUCCCACACCUUGAUCCAGCAAGGAGAGAGGGAGAGGUUGGGGAAGACUCCAUCCAGCAGCAGCACGACGGUGUGGUGGUGAUGGAGGAGCGUGGCAAUCCCGCAGGGCUUCGCCAAGCACCGCGGGAGAGGAGGAGGAGGGAGAGGGGUAGGGCUGCACCGAAAGAGAGACGUUCUCAUGUGUCUUGGGCAGCCCAAACCUCAACUAUAUAUAGGGGGGAGGGGGCUGCGCCCCCCUCUAGGGUUCCCACCCCAAGAGGAGGCGGCCAGCCCUAGAUCCCAUCAAGGGGGCGGCCAAGGGGAGGAGGGGGGGCGCCCCACUAGAUGGGCCUUAGGGCCCAUCUGGACCUAGGGUUUGCCCCCUCCCACUCUCCCAUGCGCCUAGGGCCUUGGUGGGGGGGGGGCGCACCAGCCCACUUGGGGCUGGUCCCCUCCCACACUUGGCCCACGCAGCCUUUUGGGGCUGGUGGCCCCACUUGGUGGACCCCCGGGACCCUCCCGGUGGUCCCGGUACAUUACCGAUAUCACCCGAAACUUUUCCGGUGACCAAAACAGGACUUCCCAUAUAUAAAUCUUUACCUCCGGACCAUUCCGGAACUCCUCGUGACGUCCGGGAUCUCAUCCGGGACUCCGAACAACAUUCGGUAACCACGUACAAACUUUCCCUAUAACCCUAGCGUCAUCGAACCUUAAGUGUGUAGACCCUACGGGUUCGGGAACCAUGCAGACAUGACCGAGACGUUCUCCGGUCAAUAACCAACAGCGGGAUCUGGAUACCCAUGUUGGCUCCCACAUGUUCCAAGAUGAUCUCAUCGGAUGAACCACGAUGUCGGGGAUUCAAUCAAUCCCGUAUACAAUUCCCUUUGUCUAUCGGUAUGUUACUUGCCCGAGAUUCGAUCGUCGGUAUCCCUAUACCUUGUUCAAUCUCGUUACCGGCAAGUCUCUUUACUCGUUUCGUAACUCACAUCAUCCCGUGAUCAACUCCUUGGUCACAUUGUGCACAUCAUGAUGAUGUCCUACCGAGUGGGCCCAGAGAUACCUCUCCGUUUACACGGAGUGACAAAUCUCAGUCUCGAUUCGUGCCAACCCAACAAACACUUUCGGAGAUACCUGUAGUGCACCUUUAUAGCCACCCAGUUACGUUGUGACGUUUGGUACACCCAAAGCAUUCCUACGGUAUCCGGGAGUUGCACAAUCUCAUGGUCUAAGGAACUAAUACUUGACAUUAGAAAAGCUCUGAGCAUACGAACUACACGAUCUUGUGCUAGGCUUAGGAUUGGGUCUUGUCCAUCACAUCAUUCUCCUAAUGAUGUGAUCCCGUUAUCAACGACAUCCAAUGUCCAUGGUCAGGAAACCGUAACCAUCUAUUGAUCAACGAGCUAGUCAACUAGAGGCUUACUAGGGACAUGGUGUUGUCUAUGUAUCCACACAUGUAUCUGAGUUUCCUAUCAAUACAAUUCUAGCAUGGAUAAUAAACGAUUAUCAUGAAUAACGAAAUAUAAUAAUAACCUAUUUAUUAUUGCCUUUAUGGCAUAUUUCCAACAGUUUUCGGCUUCGUCUCUGGGUCGAGCCUCUUACAUUUAGCUUUCUCUUAACACCUAGCGACGGGGACGCUCUUAUCACCCACACUAAUGGCUUCUCGAAGGCGGGAAGUUUUUCUCCUCCACGAAUACUUGCUUGUGGCACAUCACCAUCUCCCUCAGUUAUUUAUUAUACUUCUUCUUCUGUUCGUCAUUUUCUCAUAUCUUUUUUUAAGGAGCCAGAGUGUGGCCAACACCAUAAUAAACACACAAGGCAAUGGAUGGAUUACUAGUUAAAUUCUUUGGCUUUUCGCUCUUGAAAAAUAUUAGCUUUGUUAUGGGUGGACGGAGGGGUCGCACUUAUAGCUUCGGUGCGUGUCGCUGCAUCUAAGAGCAUCCGUAUGUCAAGGUGCUGAACAAUGUGUAAAAGCGGUGAGAAAAAGUCGGUAUCCAUGUUACGGGAUGUAAGGCUUGUGGCAAAAAAACUUAACACCAGCAGUUUGACCAUAGAACAUCUAUAACCCGUAUUCCCAUAAACGGGUGGUAAACUCCUGAAAAAGAAGUGGACUCAUCAAUCUGGCCUCUUCCGUAUGACUCUUCUUUUAGUUCUAUUAUUAUUACAUCCACAUAAACACAUGGAACUUGAGACGUAAGACAUUGUUGGGUAAUUUAUCUGAAAAUAACUCGUACUACAAGUUAGGACGAAGUGAGAAUUGUAAAAUAUAAGCUUUUGCCUUCUUUCGUAUACCCCAUGCACCUUAUGCUAGAUGGCUUUUCGAGGGAAUUUUUUUUAUUUCUUCUCUACGAAUGCUUGUGGCACACCGCCGUUUUUCUUAUUUUAUUUUGGAGCCGUCUUUUUUGGUUAUUUAUAUACUUUGUUUUCCGUUCAUCAUUUAGGCAUCCCUUUCCACCUUUCGUCACCAGUCAUGGAGGACGGAUACCUAAGCAACCUUUAAUAAUUUUUGCGUGUGCCGCUCUGGUUGUAAGACCGGAAAGCGAAACCUCCAUGAUCAUUUCAUAAAUGAACAAAGCAGUGCCGCUGCUCUUUCAAAAAUAAGUAUAUCAAAUUCAGUUGAAGCCGCAUCUGUACUGUUCAGCGAUGGAGACUGAGGUUGGGCCAUGAAAAGAAAACAGAUAAUUUUGUUUCAUAAUGAUACGAAUUAAUUAUUGAAGGUAGGGUCAUAGAGACCGAUUACAUUACAUUCAUAGAAGCGCAUGGAAGUUGAGACGCAAGACAUUGUUUGGUAAUCUCUAUCUCUAUCUCUAUCUCUACUACUUAAAAAGAACGUAAGGUUUCCAUUAUUUCACCUUUCUUCCCACCAUCCCUUCGUCCAACCUUCCAUGUAUAUGAUAAUCAACCACCUUAAUUUACUUACCUUCCGAACCAAUUUCACUUUAAUUUACUUACCAAACUUCUAAUCAAAAUAAGGUAAUUCAUGACCAGAAUUUGAUGAAUAUUUAUUUACACAAUCGUAUUAUUAUUGACAGGUAAAUCACAAGCUAACGUAUUACAAUAUUUAUAUCUCGUUGCAACGCACGGACAUUGUUCUAGUUUAUCUAAAAACAGUAUGUAGAAGUUAGGACGAAGCGAGAAUUGUAACACAUAAGCUUCCCCCCUCUUUCGUAUACCCCAUAGGCCUUUCGGCUUCGGUUUCGAAUACACCAUCACACAUAUAGCUUCUGCUUAACACCUAGCGAUGCGGAUGCUCCUAUCGCCUAUACAUACUAGUAAACGGCUUCUCGAGGACGGGAAGGUUUUUUGUUUGUUUCUUCUCUACGAAUGCUUGUGGCACACUACCACCGUCAUCCUUAGCUAUUCAUAUACUUCCUUCCCCGUUCAUCAUUUAUGCAUCUCUUUCCAUCGUUCGUCACCGGUCACGGGAGACGAAUACCGAAGCAACAUUCAAUAAUUUUUGGUCAUGGGAGACGGAUACCGAAGCAACAUUCAAUAAUUUUUGCGUGCGCCGCUCUGGUUGUAAGAUCUGAAAGCGAGACCGCAUGAUCAUUUCAUACGUGGCACAAGACUCACAUGGUUCUUAUUUUCUUAUUAUUGCUGGCCAACACACAUGCACGAGCAAGCAAGUGUUUCUGCUCUUUCAAAAAAUAACAAAUUCAGUUCGAACCGCAUAACCGAAUCUUGUACUGUCCCACGAUGGAGACCGAUUGUUAGGCCACGAAAAGAAAGCAGAUGGAAAAGAAAAACUCAUAAUGAAGCUAAUUGAUUAAUGAACGUAGGGUCACACAGCGACCGAUCUUAGUCAGGGUGACUUGGAUCCGACACGGCCGGCAUCAGUCAUCGCCCGUCCCGUUCCUAAAUGCUCGGUGAGAGGGGCCUCAUUGUUCAUGUCAAUGUGACAGGUUUUCGGUUCAGAAUGAAAAAAUGAGGAAAAGGAAAA